rnacentral:rRNA from 1 species
AUUGAACGCUGGCGGCAGGCCUAACACAUGCAAGUCGAACGAGUGGCGGACGGGUGAGUAAUGUAUGGGAAACUGACUGAUGGAGGGGGAUAACUACUGGAAACUGUAGCUAAUACCGCAUACCAUCAGAUGUGCCAAAGUGGGAGUAGCUAGUUGGUGGGGUAACGGCUCACCAAGGCGACGAUCCCUAGCUGGUCUGAGAGGAUGACCAGCCACACUGGAAAUGAGACACGGUCCAGACUCCUACGGGAGGCAGCAGUGGGGAAUAUUGCACAAUGGGCGCAAGCCUGAUGCAGCCAUGCCGCGUGUAUGAAGAAGGCCUUCGGGUUGUAAAGUACUUUCAGCGGGGAGGCGUUACCCGCAGAAGAAGCACCGGCUAACUCCGUGCCAGCAGCCGCGGUAAUAC